AACGAACGCUGGCGGCAUGCCUAACACAUGCAAGUCGAACGAGACCUUCGGGUCUAGUGGCGCACGGGUGCGUAACGCGUGGGAACCUGCCCUUAGGUUCGGAAUAACUCCCCGAAAGGGGUGCUAAUACCGGAUAAUGUCUUCGGACCAAAGAUUUAUCGCCUUUGGAUGGGCCCGCGUUGGAUUAGCUAGUUGGUAGGGUAAAAGCCCACCAAGGCGACGAUCCAUAGCUGGUCUGAGAGGAUGAUCAGCCACACUGGGACUGAGACACGGCCCAGACUCCUACGGGAGGCAGCAGUGGGGAAUAUUGGACAAGGGGCGAAAGCCUGAUCCAGCAAUGCCGCGUGAGUGAUGAAGGCCUUAGGGUUGUAAAGCUCUUUUACCCGGGAUGAUAAUGACAGUACCGGGAGAAUAAGCUCCGGCUAACUCCGUG
rnacentral:rRNA from 1 species